AUACUUACCUGGCAGGGGAGACACCGUGAUCAGGAAGUUGGUUUUCCCAGGGCGAGGUUCAUCCAUUGCACUGCGGGUGUGGUGACUCCUGCAAUUUCAGCAAAUGCGGGAAACUCCACGGCAUAAUUUGUGGUAGUGGGGCGCUGCGUUCGCGCCAACCCCUG
ensembl:snRNA U1 U1 spliceosomal RNA